GAUGAACGCUGGCGGCGUGCCUAAUACAUGCAAGUCGAGCGAACGGACGAGAAGCUUGCUUUUCUGAUGUUAGCGGCGGACGGGUGAGUAACACGUGGAUAACCUACCUAUAAGACUGGGAUAACUUCGGGAAACCGGAGCUAAUAUCGGAUAAUAUUUUGAACCGCAUGGUUCAAAAGUGAAAGACGGUCUUGCUCUCACUUAUAGAUGGAUCCGCGCUGCAUUAGCUAGUUGGUAAGGUAACGGCUUACCAAGGCAACGAUGCAUAGCCGACCUGAGAGGGUGAUCGGCCACACUGGAACUGAGACACGGUCCAGACUCCUACGGGAGGCAGCAGUAGGGAAUCUUCCGCAAUGGGCGAAAGCCUGACGGAGCAACGCCGCGUGAGUGAUGAAGGUCUUCGGAUCGUAAAACUCUGUUAUUAGGGAAGAACAUAUGUGUAAGUAACUGUGCACAUCUUGACGGUACCUAAUCAGAAAGCCACGGCUAACUACGUG
rnacentral:rRNA from 1 species